UUCGUAGGCGGUGCGGUAAGUCGGAAGUGAAAUCUCUGGGCUUAACCCAGAGGCUGCUUUCGAAACUGCCGUGCUAGAGUGCGGGAGAGGCGAGUGGAAUUGCAGGUGUAGCGGUGAAAUGCGUAGAUAUCUGCAGGAACACCCGUGGCGAAGGCGGCUCGCUGGACCGCAACUGACGCUGAGGAACGAAAGGCUAGGGGAAGCAAACA
rnacentral:rRNA from 1 species